UACGGUAUGUUAUAUGUGUUUGGUGGGGGCGCGACGGUCACGCGCAGCGGAGCUUAUGGUUGCGUGCGUUGCAAGGCAAUGGUCACACUCGGAUCAAGCUAACGUAACAUCAGUGCAAACUCUGGUGCAAAGGAACGAAGAAAAGCAGCAGGAGGAGAAGAAAGCCCUGUAAAGAGCUGCAGGUGAAGAGACAUGUAGGACCACACCUAGCACAGCAGCCGGUGAAACAGAGCAUGCAGCAGGUGAAGGAGCAACAGACACAACUCUCCCUGAUUCUGCACUACAGCCUGCAGACACUUUCGCCCCCACAACAAGUUCUGAUGUCCAUGAGUCCAUCAGGGAAGAACCGAUUGAUCCUGCUGACUGGCCAACCCUGUCUGGCCAAAGUUACUAAAAAUUAAAAUAUUCUGAGACCGUUAUAUUUGCUUGUAGUACAUUUAUCAAAUAUAAAUGUACAAUAUAAUACAAACAACAUAGUGUACCUAUAAUGUAUAGCAGAAUGAUAACAUGGAAGUGGUUCAAAGUGGCCGUAGGUGGGAGGGCGCAAAUCUUAGUAUCGCCUAGGGCAGUGUUUCUCAACUGGUGGGUCGCGGACCCGUUUGUAGUGGGUCGCGGGCCUUUGCAUGGGAAAAAAAUAUAUAUAUAUUUUGAAGGGACUUUUUGUAAUGCAGCGGAGUUUUUUUUCCGGCUCGUCCGUCCAUGUUGUUUUCCGUCAGC